rnacentral:lncRNA from 1 species
UGCACGCUUCUAAUAGCUUGUCAGAGCACAAGUUCCCAAAGUAAAACAACUCCAACUCAGCCUAUCCCACUCUGCCAAUCCAAGAGACCAGGACGUCUGGCAUCACUCUUGAAAUCUAAAGAACUGACAGGAAGAAGGAAGGAAAGAAAACAAGAUUUCUGAAAUGGAGACGACAGUCUGGGAGAGAAGAAACAAGAUUUUUUUAUUGUGAUAAAAGAUCUUUAGUUAAAGAUUUUGUUUUUAUUGUAUGUGUGUUUGUGGGAGAGAGACCUAAGCUACCUGCUAUGGACUGAAUGUUUGCGUCCCCCCAAAAAUUCAUAUGUGGAAGACUAAUCCCCAAAUUGAUAGUAUUGGUAUUAGGAGAUGGGGCCUUUGGGAGGUAAUUAGGUCAUGAGGAUGGAGCCCUCAUGAAUGGGAUUAGUGCCCUUACAAGAAGAGACAAGAGAACUUGUUCUUUGCCAUGUGAGACUAAGACAAGAAGAUAGCCAUCUGCAAGCCAUGAAGGGAGUCUUCACAAGACCCUGGAUCUACCAACACCUUGAUCGUGGACCUCCCAGCCUUCGUAACUGUGCAAAUAAAUGUUUUUGUUUAAGUCACCAAGUCUGUGGUAUUCUGUUAUAUGAGCCUUAACUAUAGCACUACCUCAGGAGUUACUGUAGUGGUGGUUGUCUUUUACCCCAACUUUGGCAAAGGGGCCAUGCUGUAAUCUGUUCUUGUACUAGAAGACUAUUAGGAUUUCCAGGAAAUCAUUAAAGUUUUGCUACAACCAUGC